GAGUUUGAUCCUGGCUCAAAACGAACGCUGGCGGCGUGCUUAACACAUGCAAGUCGCGCGAGAAAAGGAGCUUCGGCUCCUUAGUAAAGCGGCGAAUGGGUGCGUAACACGUGAGUGACCUGUCCCUAAGACUGGGGCAACCCGCCGAAAGGCGGACUAAUACCGGAUAAGACCACAGGAGACAACUUCUGAGGUCAAAGGUGGCGUUCUUGAAGGAGGCUAUCACUUAGGGAGGGGCUCGCGGCCUAUCAGCUUGUUGGUGAGGUAAUGGCUCACCAAGGCAGCGACGGGUAGCUGGUCUGAGAGGAUAGCCAGCCACACGGGGACUGAGAUACGGCCCCGACUCCUACGGGAGGCAGCAGUGGGGAAUAUUGGGCAAUGGGGGAAACCCUGACCCAGCGACGCCGUGUGGGUGAUGAAGGCCUUCGGGUCGUAAAGCCCUGUCAGGCGGGAAGAAGCCUCUAGGGCUAAAUAAGCUUUAGAGAUGACGGUACCGCCAAAGGAAGCACCGGCCAACUCCGUGCCAGCAGCCGCGGUAAGACGGAGGGUGCAAGCGUUGUUCGGAAUUACUGGGCGUAAAGGGUGUGUAGGCGGUUCCAUAAGUCUGGCGUGAAAGCCCAGGGCUCAGCCCUGGAAGGGCGUCAGAUACUGUGGGACUAGAGUACCGGAGAGGAGGGUGGAAUUUCCGGUGUAGCGGUGAUAUGCGUAGAUAUCGGGAGGAACACCAGUGGCGAAGGCGCCCCUCUGGACGGUCACUGACGCUGAGGCACGAAAGCGUGGGGAGCAAACAGGAUUAGAUACCCUGGUAGUC
rnacentral:rRNA from 1 species